rnacentral:rRNA from 1 species
GAUGAACGCUGGCGGCGUGCCUAAUACAUGCAAGUCGAACGAGGUGCUUUUGUAGCAAUACGAGAGUAUCCUAGUGGCGAACGGGUGAGUAACGCGUUGGUGACCUGCCCCAAAGUGUGGGAUAACAGUCCGAAAGGAUUGCUAAUACCGCAUGUGGUCUUCGGAUUUAGAAACUGAUGACUAAAGGAGCAAUUCGCUUUGGGAGGGACCUGCGUCCCAUCAGCUAGUUGGUGAGGCAAUGGCUCACCAAGGCUACGACGGGUAGGGGACCUGAGAGGGUGACCCCCCACAAUGGAACUGAAACACGGUCCAUACACCUACGGGUGGCAGCAGUAGGGAAUAUUGCACAAUGGGCGAAAGCCUGAUGCAGCAACGCCGCGUGUGCGAUGAAGGCCUUCGGGUCGUAAAGCACUUUUCUGAGGGAUGAGCAAGGACAGUACCUCAGGAAUAAGUCACGGCUAACUACGUGCCAGCCGCCGCGGUAAUAC